UAUUUAUGGAGAAAGUAUAGCAAGAGGACAACUGUUAAACCAGAGUGACAGACAAGAAUUUCCAAGGAUCGGUAUUUUACUGAUAAUGUGUGAUGAGAAUGAGGGUGAAGUUGCUGAUUCAAUCUUGAAUUUACGGACUCCUCAAUUGGAUUAUCUAGAUUGUGCUUCAAAGAAGGCACUUUACCACACAACAGUCAAGGUGAUGCAUCAAAAGUCACUAAAGAGACAGUGAUCUUUUUUGUAAUUUCAUUAGUCCUGAUAGGUGAUAAAACGUGUUGUAAUAGGAAGAAACCUGCUUCCCCAGCAGGGCAUGGAAAAAACACAACAGUCCUUGGAGCCCUGUGAGAAACCUGAGGAUAAACAUGUUCUAUACAGAUACAGGUUCUGGUUUAGGUCCACACGAGCUGGUCAAUGUUGAGAGCCAAACAAAAUAAGGAGAACAAGAUGAUGCAGGAGAAGAAUGGAAACCUAAAUAGAGACUUUGGCAGUGACCUUGCAGAUGUGCUAAUGUCCUAGCAGUUCUUUUAAUUAAUAACUCUUGUGACAAUGAAAACAAGACUCAACAAGGCAAAGAAUGAGAGCUGAGAGAUGUGAUACUCUGAACCCAGUGAGGCCUUCAUAAACUGUUUUACCCUACAGACCCCAAGAAGUCCCUCAUGGAAUGGCUGGAUGAGUUCUGUUUAA